UCAAGCAUGGCGCGUACCCAGUUACCCCAGUGGGCAUCAAACAGGUUCAUUCAAGCAUGGCGCAUACCCAGUAACACAAGUGGGCAUAAAAGAAGUUCAUUCAAGCAUGGCAUAUACCCAGUAACACAAGUGGCCAUAAAAGAGGUUCAUUCAAGCAUGGCACAUACUUAGUAACACAAGUGGGCAUAAAAGAGGUGUAUUCAAGCAUGGCACAUACCCAGUAACACAAGUGGGCAUAAAAGAGGUUCAUUCAAGCAUGGCACAUACUUAGUAACACAAGUGGGCAUAAAAGAGGUGUAUUCAAGCAUGGCACAUACCCAGUAACACAAGUGGGCAUAAAAGAGGUUCAUUCAAGCAUGGCACAUACCCAGUAACACAAGUGGGCAUAAAAGAGGUUCAUUCAAGCAUGGCAUAUACCCAGUAACACAAGUGGCCAUAAAAGAGGUUCAUUCAAGCAUGUCACAUACUUAGUAACACAAGUGGGCAUAAAAGAGGUGUAUUCAAGCAUGGCACAUACCCAGUAACACAAGUGGGCAUAAAAGAGGUUCAUUCAAGCAUGGCAUAUACCCAGUAACACAAGUGGCCAUAAAAGAGGUUCAUUCAAGCAUGCCACAUACUUAGUAACACAA